AGUGCACCGCGGGCCGGCGCCGGCGUGAGACCCUUUCUCCUCGGCUCGAACCCGGCUCUGGGGGGGACUGUCGGGCCAUGGACGGGGUUCGGGCUAGCGCGGGACUGCUGAGGCGCGGGCGGCUGAGACGUCGGCGCCAGCCCCAGUCCCACGGUGGGUCGGUCCUGGCCCUGCCCUUGAGGCCCAGGAAGAUCCGCCGGCAGCUGAGGAGGAGUGUGGCGUCCCGCAUGGCCGCGCUGAGGGCUCAGACGUUGCCGAGUGAAGACUCGGAGGACUCGAGGGUCGAGUCGACGUCUGGCGAUUUGGGGGGCGCGCUGCCCGGUGGCGCGGCGGCCACGUCGGACGCGGCCCGGCGCGAGCCGUACGGCCACCUCAGCCCCGCAGAGCUGCUGGAGGCCUCGCCCGCCGCGCGCUCCCUGCAGACCCCGCCGGCGCGCGUGGUGGACGCCUCGGCGCUGCUGUGCGCCGCCCAGCACCUGGCGGCCGCCCCGCCUGCCGGGACCCCCGCCACGCUGCCGGGGCCGCCCGUGGACGGCGCGGAUGGGGGGCUGCCCUGGGACUCCCCGCUGCAGCGCGUCUUGGCCGAGCUGAACCGCAUUCCCAGCAGCCGGCGGCGGGCGGCGCGCCUGUUUGAGUGGCUCAUCGCGCCCAUGCCGCCCGACCACUUCUACCGGCGCCUGUGGGAGCGGGAGGCGGUGCUGGUGCGGCGGCAGGACCCCACCUACUACCAGGGCCUUUUCUCCACCGCCGACCUGGACUCGAUGCUACGCAACGAGGAGGUGCAGUUCGGGCAGCACCUGGACGCCGCGCGCUACGUCAACGGGCGGCGGGAGACCCUGAACCCGCCGGGUCGCGCCCUGCCCGCUGCAGCCUGGUCCCUGUACCGGGCCGGCUGCUCCCUGCGCCUGCUCUGCCCGCAGGCUUUCUCGGCCACCGUGUGGCAGUUUUUGGCCGUGCUGCAGGAGCAGUUUGGAAGCAUGGCCGGCUCCAACGUUUACCUCACGCCCCCCAACUCGCAGGGCUUCGCUCCUCACUACGACGACAUCGAGGCUUUUGUGCUGCAGUUGGAAGGCAGGAAGCUCUGGCGCGUCUACCGCCCCCGGGUCCCCACCGAGGAACUGGCCCUGACAUCCAGCCCCAACUUCAGCCAGGACGACCUCGGGGAGCCGGUGCUGCAGACCGUGCUGGAACCCGGAGACCUGCUCUAUUUCCCGCGCGGCUUCAUUCACCAAGCCGAGUGCCAGGAGGGAGCCCACUCUCUGCACCUCACCUUGUCCACGUACCAGCGCAACACCUGGGGCGACUUUCUGGAGGCCGUACUGCCUCUGGCUGUGCAGGCGGCAAUGGAAGAAAAUGUGGAGUUUCGCAGGGGUCUGCCCCGGGACUUCAUGGAUUACAUGGGGGCCCAGCAUUCGGAUUCUAAGGAUCCACGAAGAACGGCUUUCAUGGAGAAGUUGGAAGAAACUUCCCCAAAUCUGGCAAGUGAAUAUUCUCAUGAUUGGUGGAAAAGAGCCUGGUGUACCAGAAAGAGCACUGGACUUGGAAUCAGAAGACCUGGGUUUGGGGUGGUGGCUGGUAGGCAGCUGGCUGAAUGACCUGAGGCUGCUACUGCACCUGGGCACACAUUUUGGCUUGCUACUAACUCCUAAAACAUCCAGUUCCUGGAACAGGCUUUUUAAGAGUCAAGUUAUAGGACACACUUCUAGGAAACCUACCCUGGAAAGCUUCUUGGAGAAAAAUGGCUGUAACAGCUGGGGUUGGCCAGGCUGAAGCCAAGAACCAGGCACUGCGUCCAGGUCUCCCAUGUGGAUGGCAGGAAUCCAAGUACUUGGGCCAUCAUCUGUUACCUCCCAGGUUCUUUUAGCUUCAUUUCCUGAGAUGAGAUGAUGAAUAAAAUGGUUAUAAGAAGCAUCAGCUCAUUAAAUACCCUUUCCUGGGAACAAAGAGGGCAGGGGCCCAGCGUGCCUGGGGCAGAGAGUGCCCGUGACGCAAGUGUGGCAGGUGGCAGAGCCUCCGUGAAAGCAGUGGAUCCUUGGAGAAUUUUUUCAGAGGUAGAAUUCACACACAAUAAGAUUCAUCCUGUUAAAGUGUACACUUUUUAGUGUAUUCAGAGUCCAACAACUAUCACCACUAUAAUUUCAGAUUUCCUCACCUCCCCCCAAAAAUCCCAUAGCCAUCCUUCCUUCCCUCCCCCCAGCCCCUGGCGACAUUAAUCUACUUUGUCUUUACGGAUUUGCCUGGUCUCAUGGAGAGGGCAUGCAGAAUGGAGCUAGCCUCUGGGGAAGGCAGUGUACUAAAAAUAACGCCUUGAGUUUGUGUCACAAUGAAAGUCUGCAAAAUGUAUUCACAAAACCACCUCUUCCCAGUCUCGCAGAAGUGCCUUGCUGUCUUAAUGAUCAGUGUCUGCAUUUUAAUGAAGCAGUCAACCAGCCCAGAAGAUGACUGACCAAGACCCAGCCCAAGGCGUUGCUGCAUUCUAGUGGUGAUCCACAACAAAGCAGGAGGAAUGUAGAAUGAUGUAUUUACGAAAUGGAAACUUAGAGCAAAGGAAGACCACAGGACCUGAGAAAGUAUAGCCUGACUGUGGAGCCAGCCCAGGGGAACGGGACAGAAUGCUGUGCCAGGAGUUGGAUGACUUUCCCUUGGAAGCAUUAAGAUGGGACUUGCCUUAUUGCUGCUCCAGGAGCUCCAGGUCACUGGCAGAGGUGAGCUCAUCUCGGAUGUGGCUCCAGUCGUACUGCUGGCGCAAGAAGCUCUGCCACUUGCUGGGAGACUCCCCAGGCCUCAAAGGACGCUUGCUCUGGAUCCAUCGGGCCGUGCGCUUGUUCAGCUUCCCCAGCACGACAGCCUCCCAGGCUCUGGCUACUUUCUCAGCCGGUGGGAGCCAGGCUUCCCUCUCCUCCAGGAUUAUGUCUGGAGAGGGAGGCUGCUGGGUGAGAGGUCGAGGGGCUUCCUGGACUGUGCUCGCUGGCUGUGACUUCCUCCGCCUCUUCUCGGGAUUGACAGAGUUGUCUUUCUUCUUGCCCUGGAAAGUGUCCCCCACUGAGGGACCGUGCUGAGGGGCAGUUUUCUCAGGUCGGGCCUUUCUGAGCUGGGGGCGCUGGAUGAUGUUGUCUGUGUUGUAGAGGUGGUCAAAGCUGUACUGGCUGUAAGGGAUGCUGGGCAGCCCUCGCUGCCACACCACCUCCUGCGAGAAGGUGAGGUUGGCAGCAGCCUUUUUCAGAUACUGGUUCUUGAGAUGUGUGUAGUGCUGUGGGCUGAAGCGGAAGGCUGGAGGAGCACACGAGACAGAGGCACACUCCUUGCCUUUCGGUUUUGAGUUGCAGAAAAGCGUGCCCCAUCUCAGCUGUGGGGGGAGUGGCUGAUGCAAGAGAGGGAUCUUGCCAUUCUGGGUCCUGGUCAUAUUGUUUCUACACUGCCCAUCCAGAGGCAGGGCCUGGAGACGGGGCCAGGAACCUGUGAAUGGGAUGCAAAGAACCAGUAAGAGCCUUCUGCCAGCAGAAACGGGAAGCCUACAGCAGCAUAGAAAGAAUAGGGUCUGGCACUUGGCAUCGUGGAUAAGAUGACUGCAUCCUGUACUGGAGUGCCUGGGUUUGAUCCCUAGCCCCAGCUCCCAGUUGUAGAUUUCUGCCAGUGCAGACCCUGAGAGGUUCUGGUGCUAGCUCAAGUAACUGAUUUUCUCCAUGUGGGGGCCUGGAUUGAAUUCCUGGCUCCUGCAUUUAGGUGCUUUCCCAGCUGUGCCACUGCAGGCAUUUGUGAAGUGAGUCAGUGAAUGGAGCCAUUCCCUCUCUCUGCUGUUUGACUAAAUAAAUUUUUAAAAAUUUAAGAAAAGAAAGAGAAUAACAGAAUACAGAGAGGAUGGGUAGGAAUUGGAGGAAAGGACAUGCAAAUGAGAAGAACACAAGAAAGAAACGGUGCGACAUUGUAAAUAUUUUUUUCAAGUAUCACCAUGUUUAUUGAUAGAUACAAGUAUAUAAAAUCAGGGCAUGAACAUGACUUGAUAAAUUAAGUGGACUUAAUUUCAAUACUAUAAUAAGAGGGACCAAUUCAAAUUCUCACCAUUUGUUUCACACCGUAAAUAUUUCUUGUAUCACACACAUGCUCCCAAUUCUCACAUUGUUUCCAUAGCUCAGACCCUCAUCUCCUUUAAGCAUUACUGCAUUUCAAUAGUAUACCACCGGGCCGGCACUGUGGCAUAGUGGGCUAAGCCUCUGCUUCCAGCACCAGGGGCCGGUUUGUGUACUGGCUGCUCCUCUUCCGAUCCAGCUCUCUGCUAUUGCCUGGGAAAGCAGUGGAAGAUGGUCCAAGUCCUUGGGCCCCCACACUUGCGUGGGAGACCCAGAAGAAGCUCCUGGCUCCUGGCUUCAGAUGGGCUCAGCUCCAGCCAUUGAGGCCAUUUGGGGAGUGAACCAGCAGAUGGAAGAGCUUUCUCUGUCUCGCACUCUCUCUAACUCUACCUGUCAAAUAAAUAAGUAAAAUCUUUUUUUUUUUUUUUUUGGACAGGCAGAGUGGACAGUGAGAGAAAGAGACAGAGAGAAAGGUCUUCCUUUGCCGUUGGUUCACCCUCCAAUGGCCACCGCGGCCGGCGCACCGCGCUGAUCCAAUGGCAGGAGCCAGGUGCUUCUCCUGGUCUCCCAUGGGGUGCAGGGCCCAAGCACUUGGGCCAUCCUCCACUGCACUCCCUGGCCACAGCAGAGAGCUGGCCUGGAAGAGGGGCAACCGGGACAGAAUCCGGCGCCCCGACCCGGACUAGAACCCGGUGUGCUGGCGCCGCAAGGCGGAGGAUUAGCCUAGUGAGCCGCGGCACCGGCCAAUAAGUAAAAUCUUAAAAAAACAAAACAAAACAAAACAAAAAAAAACAACCAAGUAUACCACACUUUAAUUGUGUGUGUGUGUGUAUUAAAGAGUUUCUUUUUCUCUGUUCAAAAGGUUUACAGCAUGAAGUUCAAACUGCUCAGUCUGACAUUCAGGGUUCUCCAUGAGUAUGACCCCAGUUUAUGACUUUGUCUAGACAUGUAACCUCUGCUUCAGCCUGUUGGGUCUUCUCGCUGUCCGCUGAGUAUUUCUCCCUCCACGAGUGCGGCUUCGCUGUGUGCUCCCUCCAUGAAAAAGGCCUUUCUUCCAUACUUGACACAAAUUCUAUCCAUUCUUUCAGGCUCAGCUCAGUUCCUACCUGCUGUGUAAUAUUUUCUUGACCUAUCCAGGCUAUUAUACCUGAAUGUGUAAGUCACUCCUAGUCCAUAUCACUUCCUUUGAUUGUUAAUUCUGUGAUUCAUCACAUUGUUAGAUAUACGGCUCUAACUGUUCAGCCCAAGACCAUGUCUUCUGUCUCUCCAGACUAGCCUGGCACUUUUCCAUAUCACUACUUAGUCUUCAUUGUUAAAAAUAUUCAAGCUGGGGGCCAGUGUUGUGGUGCAGCAGGUAAAGCUGUGGCCUUUGAUGCUACCAUCCCAUGUGGGCACCAGUUGAAGUCCAGGAUGCUCUACUUCUGAUCCAGCUCCCUGCGAAUCUGCCUGGGAAAGCAGUGGAAGAUGGCCUAAUUGCUUGGACCCCUGUCACCCACAUGGGAGACCUAGAUGGAAGGAUUUACAGGUUCCUGGCUUUAGCCUGGCCCAGCCCUGGCUGUUGUAGCCAUUUGGGGAGUGAAACAGCAGAUGCAACAUCUUUUCUCUGACUCUCCCUCCCUGUAAUUCUUCCCUUGAAAUAAAUAAAAUCAACCUUUAAAAAUA